rnacentral:sRNA from 1 species
CCUUACCGACCCUACGGCCUGCCCGCUGCCAGGCCACGGCACCAAUCCCAUCGUUGCCGGCUCGCCGAACGU